rnacentral:rRNA from 1 species
GGCAUGUUAGUUUGCGUCUUCAAGCCACGGAGAAGACGCGGCGGACGGCUCAGUAACACGUAGCCAACCUGCCCUUGGGACGGAAAUAACCCCGGGAAACUGGGGACAACAACCGAUAGGUGAGAAGGCCUGGAAUGGUUUCCCGCCUAAAAGACCAGGAACCACGCUUCCAAAGUCGCCCAAGGAUGAGGCUGCGGCCGAUCAGGCAGUUGGUGAGGUAACGGCUCACCAAACCUAUAACCGGUACGGGCCGUGAGAGCGGGAGCCCGGAGAUGGGCACUGAGACAAGGGCCCAGGCCCUACGGGGCGCAGCAGCUACUAAACCUCUGAAAUGCGCGAAAGCGCGACAGGGCUACCCCGAGUGCCGUCCGCUGAGGAUGGCUUUUCUCCGGUGUAAUGAGCCGGAGGAAUAAGGGGAGGGCAAGCCUGGUGUCAGCCGCCGCGGUAAUACCAGCUCCCCGAGUGGUGGGGGCUUUUAUUUGGCCUAAAGCGUUCGUAGCCGGUUUGACAAGUCUCCUGUGUAAUCCAGCGAUCUAAUCGUUGGACUGCGGGUGAUACUGUUGGACUAG